UACGUAGGGUGCGAGCGUUGUCCGGAAUUAUUGGGCGUAAAGAGCUCGUAGGCGGUUCGUCGCGUCGGCUGUGAAAUCCCGAGGCUCAACCUCGGGUCUGCAGUCGAUACGGGCGGACUGGAGUUCGGCAGGGGAGACUGGAAUUCCUGGUGUAGCGGUGAAAUGCGCAGAUAUCAGGAGGAACACCGGUGGCGAAGGCGGGUCUCUGGGCCGAUACUGACGCUGAGGAGCGAAAGCGUAGGGAGCGAACAGG
rnacentral:rRNA from 1 species